rnacentral:rRNA from 1 species
UACGUAGGGGGCGAGCGUUAUCCGGAAUUACUGGGCGUAAAGCGCACGCGGGCGGUUCGCCAAGUUUGGCGUGACAGUUGUCGGCUCAACCGACAAAGGACUUCAAAAACUGGUGAACUUGAGGACGAGAGAGGAACAUGGAACUCCAGGUGUAGUAGUGAAAUGCGUAGAUAUCUGGAAGAACACCAAUGGCGAAGGCAAUGUUCUGGCUCGUUUCUGACGCUCAGGUGCGAAAGCCAGGGGAGCGAACGGG